GACGAACGCUGGCGGCGUGCCUAAUACAUGCAAGUAGAACGCUGAAGAGAGGAGCUUGCUCUUCUUGGCUGAGUUGCGAACGGGUGAGUAACGCGUAGGUAACCUGCCUUGUAGCGGGGGAUAACUAUUGGAAACGAUAGCUAAUACCGCAUAACAAUGGAUGACACAUGUCAUUUAUUUGAAAGGGGCAAUUGCUCCACUACAAGAUGGACCUGCGUUGUAUUAGCUAGUAGGUGAGGUAAUGGCUCACCUAGGCGACGAUACAUAGCCGACCUGAGAGGGUGAUCGGCCACACUGGGACUGAGACACGGCCCAGACUCCUACGGGAGGCAGCAGUAGGGAAUCUUCGGCAAUGGGGGCAACCCUGACCGAGCAACGCCGCGUGAGUGAAGAAGGUUUUCGGAUCGUAAAGCUCUGUUGUAAGUCAAGAACGGGUGUGAGAGUGGAAAGUUCACACUGUGACGGUAGCUUACCAGAAAGGGACGGCUAGCUACGUG
rnacentral:rRNA from 1 species